rnacentral:rRNA from 1 species
AAGCGGAGGAAAAGAAACCACCAGGGAUUGCCUCAGUAGCGGCGAGUGAAGCGGCAAAAGCUCAAAUUUGAAAUCUGGCGUCUUUGGCGUCCGAGUUGUAAUUUGAAGAAGGUAUCUUUGGGCCCGGCUCUUGUCUAUGUUCCUUGGAACAGGACGUCACAGAGGGUGAGAAUCCCGUGCGAUGAGAUGACCCGGGUCUGUGUAAAGUUCCUUCGACGAGUCGAGUUGUUUGGGAAUGCAGCUCUAAGUGGGUGGUAAAUUCCAUCUAAAGCUAAAUAUUGGCGAGAGACCGAUAGCGAACAAGUACAGUGAUGGAAAGAUGAAAAGAACUUUGAAAAGAGAGUGAAAAAGUACGUGAAAUUGUUGAAAGGGAAGGGCUUGAGAUCAGACUUGGUAUUUUGCAUGCUGCUCUCUCGGGGGCGGCCGCUGCGGUUUACCGGGCCAGCAUCGGUUUGGAGCGGCAGGAUAAUGGCGGAGGAAUGUGGCACGGCUUCUGCUGUGUGUUAUAGCCUCUGACGAUACUGCCAGCCUAGACCGAGGACUGCGGUUUUUACCUAGGAUGUUGGCAUAAUGAUCUUAAGUCGCCCGUCUUGAAACACGGAC